rnacentral:rRNA from 1 species
UACGUAGGGGGCUAGCGUUGUCCGGAAUCAUUGGGCGUAAAGAGCGCGUAGGCGGCUGGAAUAGUCCGGUGUGAAAUCCACAGGCUUAACCUGUGAAUGCCGCUGGAAACUGUCUGGCUAGAGUCCGGAAGGGGCGAGUGGAAUUCCUGGUGUAGCGGUGAAAUGCGCAGAUACCAGGAGGAACACCAAUGGCGAAGGCAGCUCGCUGGGACGGUACUGACGCUGAGGCGCGAAAGCGUGGGGAGCGAACAGG